AGAAAACUACGAGCGAAAAGCUUAAAACUCAAAGGACUUGGCGGUGCUCCACACCGACUUAGAGGAGCCUGUCCUAUAAUCGAUACCCCACGCUAAACCUCACCAAUCUUCGCCCAAUCAGCCUAUAUACCGCCGUCGUCAACCUACCUCGUGAGAGAAAAGUAGUAAGUUCAAGAGUUCAAUAACUAAAACGUCAGGUCAAGGUGUAGCUUAUAGAAUGGUAGAGAUGGG
rnacentral:rRNA from 1 species